rnacentral:rRNA from 1 species
CUUUGGGAUAACCCUCGGAAACGGGGGCUAAUACCGAAUAUUACCUCCUGUCGCAUGGUGGGGGGUGGAAAGUUUUUCGGCUUGGGAUGGGCUCGCGGCCUAUCAGCUUGUUGGUGGGGUAAUGGCCUACCAAGGCGACGACGGGUAGCCGGCCUGAGAGGGCGACCGGCCACACUGGGACUGAGACACGGCCCAGACUCCUACGGGAGGCAGCAGUGGGGAAUAUUGCACAAUGGGCGGAAGCCUGAUGCAGCGACGCCGCGUGAGGGAUGACGGCCUUCGGGUUGUAAACCUCUUUCAGCAGGGACGAAGCGUAAGUGACGGUACCUGCAGAAGAAGCGCCGGCCAACUACGUGCCAGCAGCCGCGGUAAGACGUAGGGCGCGAGCGUUGUCCGGAUUUAUUGGGCGUAAAGAGCUCGUAGGCGGCUUGUCGCGUCGACUGUGAAAACCCACAGCUCAACUGUGGGCUUGCAGUCGAUACGGGCAGGCUAGAGUUCGGUAGGGGAGACUGGAAUUCCUGGUGUAGCGGUGAAAUGCGCAGAUAUCAGGAGGAACACCGGUGGCGAAGGCGGGUCUCUGGGCCGAUACUGACGCUGAGGAGCGAAAGCGUGGGGAGCGAACAGGAUUAGAUACCCUGGUAGUCCACGCUGUAAACGUUGGGCGC